rnacentral:rRNA from 1 species
UUUAAGUGUAAAAAUUAAAUAAGAUUAGUAAUAGUUAUAUUCUUGAAAUUUAAAGAUUUUGGCGGUAUUUUAGUCUUUUUAGAGGAACCUGUUCUAUAAUUGAUAGUCCACGAUAUAUUUAACUUAUUUUAAUUAGUUUGUAUACCGUUGUAGUUUGAAUAUUUUAUUAGAAUAUUAAUGUUCAAGAUUUAAUAUAAAAAAGUAAAUCAGAUCAAGGUGCAAUUUAUAAAUAAGAAGAAAUGGGUUACAAUAAAAUUAUUUAAAUGAAUAAAUUUAUGAAAAUAAAUUUUGAAGGCGGAUUUAAAAGUAAUAUUAUUAACUUAAAUAAUAUGAUUUUAGCUCUAAAAUAUGU